rnacentral:lncRNA from 1 species
GACACUUUGGGAAGGCUGCACCUUGCAGUGGGAAGAACUCGAGACUUUCUGGCAACUUAACUAGCUCCAAAUUCCCCUCUUCAACCUACUCCUCCAC